UAUACUUAUAGAAGUGGAAACUGAUAAAGACAGGUACAAAAAUAAAUCCUCUUUUGCAACCCCAGAGCUCAUUGUUAAAUAUGAGUUUUGAUACAGAUAAGGAGGAAUAUG
rnacentral:snoRNA from 1 species